AAUAAGCAUUUUCUUGGUUUUCGCACCAUAACGUUAGUAUAAGUAAAUAGAAAUCUAUGAAAUUUAAACACAAGGUUUAUGACCAUAAAAGGAAGGUUGGUAUUGAUUUUUGGGAGUUUUGGUCCCAACAGAAUAAGGGGCCCAAAGGGUCCAAAAUUAAACUUUGUUUGAUUUCAUCAAAAUUGAAUAAUUGGGGUUCUUUGAUAUGCCGAAUCUAACUGUCAUGACUGUGUAUGUAGAUUCUUAACUUUUGGUCCCGUUUUCAAAUUGGUCUACAUUAAGGUCCAAAGGGUCCAAAAUUAAAUUUAGUUUGAUUUUGACAAAAAAUGAAUCAGUUAGGUUCUUUGAUAUGCUGAAUCUAAAAAUGUACUUAGAUUCUUGAUUAUUGGCCCAGUUUUCAAGUUGGUCCAAAUCGGGGUCCAAAAUUAAACUUUGUUUGAUUUCAUCAAAAAUUGAAUAAAUGGGGUUCUUUGAUAUACCAAAUCUAACUGUGUAUGUAGAUUCUUCAUUUUUGGUCCUGUUUUCAAAUUGGUCUACACUUAAAGUCCAAAGGGUCCAAAAUUAACUUAGUCUGAUUUUAACAAAAAUUAAAAUCUUGGGGUUCUUUGAUAUGCUGAAUCAAAAAAUGUACUUAGAUUUUUUAUUAUGGGC
rnacentral:lncRNA from 1 species